UCCCUCUUAGCUCAGCUGGUAGAGCGCGUCACUAGUAUAAUUCCAUCCACACAAAGAGUUUAUGACGAGGUCAGUCGUUCAAAUCGGCUAGCGGGAA